CUCUGUGUCUCUUGCUGCAGUAGGCUGUUGCUAGUAGACCUAUCGACAGAGCUGGUUCUCACUCUCUCCCUCUGAGCUGUGUGACGCAGCUCAAAAUUCUCCAGGCUGCUCCUUGUGUUUUAACAGCAGAACUGCAGCUUUCCCCUAGAGAGCCGAUGCUAGCAGUACCAGGGCCAGACAAACUAAGACAGAAAGUCGCUCCCCAGUUAAGCACCCAAGUUAUUUAUAUCUCCCUGUUCUCCCCUCACCUUGGCUUCUCUGCUUCAUUUCCACUCUUCCCUCACGUUUUGCAUCAUCAGCUUCUCGUGGCUCUGCCACUGCUACACUUGCUCAGUUAACUCUUUUAGGAGUGGCAGUUACAGGUUCCACUCUUGAACAACAGAACUGGAAACAAAGUUGUUUGCUUUUGAGUGGGUGCAGGAGAUAUGACCCAAGCAAAUACAACUGCGCUCAAAACAGAGGACACUUUCCAAGCAGCCAUGCAAUAUCUGAAUUAAUCCCUUUAAAGGACAGAGAACACUCAUCAGUUCCAAGAAAACAGUUGCUUUCCUCCGGGACUGGACACACUCUCCACUAAUCCUUUGAGCUCUGCAGGACUAGGCAGCAGCAAAGGGGUUCCCUACAAAAUGUUACUAAGGGUGUGGGCAACGUUCCCUGAACCUCGGGCAACGAAUUAAUCCCUUCUCUACCCCUGGUGAGUAAAUGUCAAGAAGCUGCAAGUAGGAAAAAAGACAAGCUUCUGAACAGGAGAAACCAGUAUUGUUCAAGAUAUUUCCAUAAAGAUUUGCUAAGAACAAAGAACACAGAGUGCCUCCUACCAUGGAAGUUCACUUGACAAUAUAAGUGGAGGUAGUGGGGUUUGCACUGGUGGCACAGAAAUAGCCAUUCUCUGUUUGGCACCCUGCACUUCAUGAGUCAUGGAAGAAACGCAUAAGAAAAAAAAGCUCUAGAGGCAAGCGUAUAUUGUAUGUUAGGAACGUAAAGAAAUGCAAGGUGGUUGUGUUGCUAUUAACAAUCUGAAGAUUAUAUAUAAUUUAUUCUUAUACUGUUUAUAGUUUGGUAAAGUGUAGUACAAACACAAGUAUGUUUAUUCAGAUUCCAGUUUGAAUGUGGCGUCUUGGGGUUAUUCCCCAGUAAACAUGGUCAGUUUUUUUUCCUAGCACAGAAUGACAAUUGCAAGAAACAAGAAUUCAGAAAAAAAACAUAGCAUGCAGUGGGCUUCUAUAUCCCUUUUUUAUCCUGUCAUUGUGGGAGGAAUUGAUAAUUCUUCAUAUCUGUCAUAUGAACAUCCAACUAUCUCUACAACAUACAGAAGGAACUCUUGUUUUGAAAUCCAUUUUCUAUUAGAAAUGUAAGAGAAGUUAAAUAUAUCAUCAAUUAUUCACCUCAAGUAAACGAAUAUUCUCACAUAUACACAUUUUUAAAUACUGAAUCCCCAUAUAGCAUGUAAAUGCACUGGGCAACUGACAUAAAUUAAUCUUUUUUUAAAAAAAAUCAGGUAAAAUUAGAGAAAACAAUGUUACCCAAAAUCUGAGCAAAACCAUUAGCCCAGUAAAAUUUGCGCAUCCCUGGAUUAAAAUGUUGAACUAUCAUAAAGGCAAAGAUACAUUUCGAAUACUCUAUCACAAAAUAAUCAUUUUAAUACCACUUGAAUCAAUAGAUGGAACAGCACAGAACAGAUUUGAUAUGAGUUCUGGUAACUUUGUCAGCAGCUUCAGAAUCUACUGUAAUAAAACUGCAAAUGUCAAGACUCCUCAAAUUCCCACUUUAAAGAAUCCUUUUUGAGAAGCAUCACUCUUCUUUCACUAUUUGUUCGUUCACUAUUCGUUUGUACACUAUUCACCACUAUUGCAAACUCUUCUUUCUCCUUCUUCUUUCCAUUACUUACAUGGAAAAUCAUGGGUCAGUUGUCUUCUGCAAAAUAUGCAAGAAUAUAAACAGUUUUUAUCUACCUAAUUGGAGCACUGAGAUUUUUUUGUUCUAUAUAGAUGAAAACAUCAACAUUAACAGAUCACACCCAAGAUAUUACAGAAAUAAGAAUGUAUCAAAGUUUGUUACACUCAAUUCAACUUUCCAAUACAAAUAUACUGUGAGAUUCCUUAAUAUUCUGUUACUUAAAAGUGACAUGAAAGUUUUUUAAAAGGGAGAGAAAGGAAGUUCAAAGGAAACAGGAAGUCCGUGCUGCAGCAGAUAGAGUUAAGAGAGUUAUGUAAUCUCUUUACUGGGACAUGGAUAGGACAGCACACUGCUUGCUGAUUAACUAAAAAUAGAAUAAUCCCAAUUACAGCAACACUUCAACUUUUUCCUAAGUUUCAUGUUUCAUGAGCUUACAGAGAACUCAUGAAUGGAGAGGGUGGGGAGAAAAAGACAGCAGACCAAACAACAAGAAACCUUUUUAUUUUUCUUCUAACUUAGAGAACAUAAAUAUCAAUAAAAUCUUCUUUUCUACUCUAAUUUUCUGGGCUGUUGUAUUUCAGAUCUGAAUAGGCUAAGUUCCAGAUUAUUUGCUUUAAGAUCCUGACAAUUAUAACAAUU